rnacentral:rRNA from 1 species
UGGGGACUUUUGGACAAUGGACGCAAGUCUGAUCCAGCCAUGCCGCGUGCGGGAAGAAGGCCUUCGGGUUGUAAACCGCUUUUGUCAGGGAAGAAACGAGUUUCUCUAAUACAGAGACUUAAUGACGGUACCUGAAGACUAAGCACCGGCUAACUACGUGCCAGCAGCCGCGGUAAUACGUAGGGUGCAAGCGUUAAUCGGAAUUACUGGGCGUAAAGCGUGCGCAGGCGGUUAUGCAAGACAGAUGUGAAAUCCCCGGGCUCAACCUGGGAACUGCAUUUGUGACUGGAUAGCUGGAGUGCGGCAGAGGGGGAUGGAAUUCCACGUGUAGCAGUGAAAUGCGUAGAGAUGUGGAGGAACACCGAUGGCGAAGGCAGCCCCCUGGGAUAACACUGGCGCUCAUGCACGAAAGCGUGGGGAGCGAACA